AGUCUUAGUUGCUGCUGGUGGCAUCUUUAGUUAGGGCUCUAGUUCCAUGACCAGGAAUCGAAUACCAGGCCCACUGCAUUAGGAGUGCAGAAUUUUAGCCACUGGACCACCAAAUGAAAUCCCACCUGUAAGCUUGUAUUAUACAUAAUGAACCACCUCUGGGAACUCUGCCACAGGUAACGAGUGUUAAGCUAAAAUACCUUAGAUUAGCUCACGGGACAGAGCCUGACCAGGCCCACCUGUGAAUGGCAGCAGGGGAGGAAGAAAUGAACACAUCCCCUCUGGAGUCUGGCCGGAACCGGGACUUUCCCCUUCCCCUCUUAGUACGAGAAGCCUGAAUUCUAACGUGGGGAAGGUGGUCCUUGAGACACUAGUCUCCCAUCUUCUCCGUCCGCCGGCUUUCCAAAUAAAGUUGCUAUUUCAUGCCCCAACAACUCUUCCUCUCGAUUUAUCAGCCUGCCCUGUGGCGAGCAGUUGGAGCUUGGAUUGGAAACACCCACAGAGGACCAGAAGCUGUGAUGCCGUGAAAGCAGAGAAGUUGGUGUCUGCAGCAGUGGAGGGGCACCCUCUGAGCAGGGUCUGUUUCUCUGUCCUCCAGGGAGGGUGAAGCUGUGCUAGGAGAGGGCAGCUUCAUCGCAGCGCCUCUGCAGGGCCUUGUCUACAAAGCGGACUGACACCAGCCCUUCCGUCUGUGGCUUCCUUACCCGUAUGAAGGGGAUGAUGGGAGCAGAGCCUGGCUCCAGCGAAGACGAAUGAGAAUGUUCCUGAAGUUCUCAGCACUGAAAAGUGCCUCUUGAGCUCUGCUGACAUCAGCAGGCUCUACUCACAGCCACGCUAUGGAGGGGUUGCCCCACCAUCGCUCCACUUUACAACUUAGGCAAAUGAGGCCCAGAGAGGCUGAGUUACUUGCCCAUAGUCACACAGCAGGUCUUAUUGUGGUCGUGAAACCGAUUGGUGUCAUUCCAGGGGGGCUCCGAAGAGCCCUGGUACCAUAUGGCUUUAUGUCUCAGUGCAGCGAAGAAUUCGGCGAGAGCAAAGUGGUAGAUAAGAAGUGACUUAUUAGACUAGGACACUUGUGAGGCCUACACGCAGGUGGGCCAGAGAUGCCGCGCCCCAAGAACUCAGUGGGGCUGCAGUUUUAUAAUCAAAGGAAACGUGAGGAGGGGAGAAGACCUUCUUUGUCUUUCUGGAGCAGACGUCAUGCUUUCAUCAUCGGUUCCUCCUCCAGAUGGAGCAGGGGAGUCUUCUUGUCCCUACAUGGUCAAGCGAGGUCCACAGAUUGCUGUUUUUCAUGUGUGCAGAGAGCAUGUCCGAGAUCAUCAGCUCACUGAGCUCACCGGGCAGGAGGGGGGCUCAUGCCGCCAUUGUUAAACUGUUCUGGGGCAUGUCCCAUGGCAUGGUUUUGUUGCUAAACAAGCCUGAUUGGUUUUGUGGUUAAGCAAACUGCUUUCUCGGGUAAUCAUUAACUUACAGGGGUCUCCCAUAUCUUUCUACUUAUAGUCCCCUAGUGGGAUUAACUAUUUAAUCACCUUUCAAUCACCUGUUUUUUCCCUUCAUUCUGUCCCUAUCAGUAACGGAGCUGGGAUUUGAACUCGGGGAUCUGGCUCAGGGCCCACACUCUUAACUGUGGGUCUCGGUUUUAAAAUUGUAUUUAAUGCUCUCUGUCUAAAUGGGGUGGGGCAGGGGGGAGCUGGGAAUAGAACCUGACCGGCCUGUGAAUGCCUCUUGGCCUGCCUCCUCCAGGCAUCUCACAACUGGCCUGUCCAGACCUCGUGGCACUCUGCCGUCCCUCGGUCUGGAGCCGGCCAGGGCUCCCUGGGGCCCUGGGCUCAGUCCAGAGCUCUGCACCCAGCCUUUGUGGGGCCCCAGCUGGGCACCCCCUGACCUCUGGGGGAGGGCUGCCCUUCCUCCCUCAGCACCUCCGCCCAGCUUCCUCCCCACACCUUGCUUCUCCCUCUGAUCCACUUCUCUGACUUUCUGACUCACAGUAAUACCACCCUGCCCUUUCCUCCUGGGGUCUGUCUCCUCAAAGAAGUCCUCUCUUGGGGCCCAGCCAAGAUUUGGCACUGGGAUCAGGGAGGACAGAAGGGGAGGCCUCUCCCCUGAGCAGGGACAGCUUCCCUGGGAGACCCUGUGGGGCCUCCAGUCCUCCAGGGGCCUCCAGUCCUUAGGUCUGGGGGAGGGGAAGGUCACUGGCUUCAAAAUACAUAAGCUCCCCAAUUUUUAAAACUACGUGUUUAUUUGUUUGGCUGCACCAGGCCGUAGUUGCAGCAUAGUGGGAUCUAAUUCCCCAACCAGGGCUUGAACCCAGGCCCCCUGCACUGGGAACACGGAGUCUUAGCCACUGGACCACCAGGGAAGUCCCUCCCCCAGUUUUAAAAAUGGUAAAUGUUUCUUUAAAUAUCUUCUACACCCAGUGUUGUGUCAGCUUCACAAAUUUAGCAUUUUAGGAUGUGUCACCGUGGGUGAAAACAAUCGGUAGGUCACAUCUUCUCACUUGGGAAGGAUUCCCAAGAUUCCUAAGAGUGGACGAUGUUUGUGGAGAAAUCAAGGUUAGCAGCAAGUCAAAUGAGUUCCUGGAACCCGGAGAACUUUCAAAACUAGGUUAUAAAAUCCUUUUUUGAAUAUUUUUACAGCCACAGAAAUGCAUAUAAAGUUGAGGGAUAUUUGCAUUUUUUGAUGUGGUUAAAAAAAAAAAGUAACAUGAAGUAAAUCACCGUAACCAUUUUUAGAGGCACAGCUCAAUGCUGCUAAAUACAUUCACGUCCUUGUGAGACACAUCUUCCGAAGUUUAUCAUCUUGCAAGACUGAAACUCUAUACCCAUUAAACGACAAACACCCCAUUCUCCCUCCAU